rnacentral:rRNA from 1 species
UAAACGACUCUCGGCAACGGAUAUCUCGGCUCACGCAUCGAUGAAGAACGUAGCAAAAUGCGAUACUUGGUGUGAAUUGCAGAAUCCCGUGAACCAUCGAGUUUUUGAACGCAAGUUGCGCCCGAAGCCUUYUGGUUGAGGGCACGUCUGCCUGGGCGUCACGC